rnacentral:rRNA from 1 species
ACAGAGGGUGCAAGCGUUGUUCGGAAUUAUUGGGCGUAAAGCGCGUGUAGGCGGCUUUGCAAGUCGGGUGUGAAAGCCCUCGGCUCAACCGAGGAAGUGCGCCCGAAACUGCAGAGCUUGAGUACCGGAGAGGAUGGCGGAAUUCCCCAAGUAGAGGUGAAAUUCGUAGAUAUGGGGAGGAACACCGGUGGCGAAGGCGGCCAUCUGGACGGAUACUGACGCUGAGACGCGAAAGCGUGGGUAGCAAACAGGA